GACCCGAGGGGGGCCCCCACGCCCGCUCUGGCCUCUCAGUGCGGACGCAUCGAGCUUCGGCCCCCACCCCUGCAUUCGCGAUUGGCUCCCGGAGGAGGUGGCUGGUGCUGCCGCCGCUGCAGCAUCUCCUAGGGAGCCGCGACCCUGCGCCCGCCGCCGCUGCCGCUGUCACCAGCCCGGCCCCAGGGGUGCCCUGGGCUCCGCGGCUGAGGCACCUAGGGAGUUGCCCCCCUAGUGGACGGCCUCUCAGGAGAUCCUGACCACCCUCUGGGAACCUGGACUCCUCCAAGCAUCGUCUUUCUCGCCUGCAUCUUCGGAGAGAGGUGCUGAGCCCUUCCUCAUGGAUACGGGGUCCCGGGAGGCAGCCUUCACCAGGGACCUGCCCAGGAAACCAGCAGAUGCCCAGGUCAGCCCUGAAAUGUCCAUUACUCACAAAGAAAAGGAAAAUGCUCAUUUGAAAGAAAUUCUUCUCUUUGUCAAUGCUGAGGCAUUCUCUCAGCCCCAGCCCCACAGUGCUCCAGUGUGUGAAGGGCAACAGCUGACGGGGAAGUUCAGCACAUCUGUGCUGACCAGGGCUGGAGGCGAUGCCAGUCCGUGCAGCUGGGAACGCCUCCUCUGCUAUGGCUGGAGCCACUGCUGAAGGGACUCCACCUGGCACCUAUGCCACCAAUGGCCCCUGAACGGGUAUCUAGGCCCACCCUUAAUAAAGAUGAGCUGCUCAUUCCCA
rnacentral:lncRNA from 1 species